rfam:Stegodyphus mimosarum contig35838, whole genome shotgun sequence.
AAAACGGCCCUUUUCAGGGCCAAGAAAUUUCUCGUCUGAAAUUCAG